rnacentral:rRNA from 1 species
UCCAGACUCCUACGGGAGGCAGCAGUGGGGGAUAUUGCACAAUGGGGGGAACCCUGAUGCAGCGACGCCGCGUGGGUGAAGGAGCGUUUCGGCGCGUAAAGCCCUAUCGGCAGGGAAGAAGGAGGACGGUACCUGACUAAGAAGCCCCGGAUAACUACGUGCCAGCAGCCGCGGUAAUACGUAGGGGGCAAGCGUUAUCCGGAUUUACUGGGUGUAAAGGGGGCGCAGACGGCAGCGCAAGCCAGGAGUGAAAGCCCGGGGCCCAACCCCGGGACUGCUCUUGGAACUGCGCGGCUGGAGUGCAGGAGGGGCAGGCGGAAUUCCUGGUGUAGCGGUGAAAUGCGUAGAUAUCAGGAGGAACACCGGUGGCGAAGGCGGCCUGCUGGACUGCGACUGACGUUGAGGCCCGAAAGCGUGGGGAGCAAACAGGAUUAGAUACCCCCGUAGU